GCCGCGGGGGCAGGGUGUGGAGAAGGCCGGGCCGGGCCGGGCGGGGAGGCACGCGGGGCUGAGCUCCGCGGGGGCCGCAGCGCCAGCCAAUGGGCAGCGUUUGGCAGCGAGCCCCAUGGCCGAGCCGCGGUUGCACUGUCUUGCCUAACGAAGGUCUAGAAGGCGCGGGGAGGAGCCGCUGGCGCCAUAGCCGCCGUCAGGGCAUGAGGACGGCCGUGGGCUGCGUCAAGAUGCAGCUGCCGUGAGAGAGCCGGGUCCUGGCCGCGGUGGCGGCUGUGAUGGCGGCGGACGGCACCCUGCGUGCGCCACAGCCCCAGCGAGCGCGAGCACGGUUUCCAGCAGCUGCUGGUGCCUCCGCGACCAGGGCUGCGGGACCUGCCAGCGCUGCUGCGGAGCGGGCUCACCCUGCGGUGGAAGCGUGACGUCGCUGUGGGCCGGUUUUUCGGGGUAGAUUUUGAAAACAGAAGACAACAGUCUACCCUUCAAACCAUCUUGAGAGAUAGAGGUCAAACUCCAUCCAGUGAAUGUUUGGCAUCAUGGCCCCAAACCCAGGAAAGCAUGAAGUUUUGAUGAACAGCUGAAAACACCACCUGAGCAUCCUUAUUGUGUAUUAUGGACUCUUGAACCUGUGGUCAUGUGCACCAUUGCAUUUCCAUCUGAAUUUUGGUCGUAGGCCUAUUUUUGUGCUUAGGUAUCUAUCACUUUACUGUCUUGACCUCUCUGUUGCUAGAAGGGUGGAUUUGCUCACCAAACACAGUCUCGGGUCCUUUUGACUUAAGCAAAAGUGAAACAGAAUUACUAAACACUUGUGUCAUACACUGCCUUUUCUGUAAUAGUGGCAGGAAGACCAGGCCUGGAAUUCGGACUUUGCAGGCACUUGUUUCUUCUGUACUGACAACUAACACAUACACUAUCAGAGAAGGGCCAGAAUGUUUAUUUUCUUAGAAGAGUCAAAGGUCUCUGUGUCUUGAAUGUGCCAGAGGAUAAGGAAAGGACUGGGGUUUAUACUUCUGGAAGUCAUCAGAAUAUUGUACUCCUCCAAACGUAAAUUGCCUUCAUAUUUCGCCUGGUUGGUCAUUUCCUCCGAAAUGCCACUUUGGUUCUCCGAGCAGUUGGAGGACAUGGGCUCAGCUUGUCAUUCUAUGAGGAGCUCUUUCUUGCCAUCAUUUUGUACUUUCACAGCAGUCAUCAGACUUUCAAAAAAAAUGGGAUUUUUUAAAGCUACCCAUGGGCUAAAAUGGUUCUGUCUCUGUUGGCUGUGUAAGUGUCAGGCACCUCUCCACAGAUGUUUGCAGAGGUGUACUUGUAUCACUGCUCCUGUUUGUGUUUGUGGUCGUGUUGACAUUUUACAUGUAUUGGGGGCCAAAUAAGAUUGAUCCAGCCAGAUUGCAGGAGCCGUGAGUAAGACAUUAUUUAGCGAACACUUUCUGAUCUCCCACUGAGUGCCAAGGCCCAUGGUGGACACCAGGACCACAGAGCAUGACCAGUAGCCCUGACCCAGAGGAGCUCACAAUCUUGAUAGCUCACAACAAGCUUAGUUGGUGCAAACUUUUGACUAUUCUUCAGAGUUCUGAUAAAGUUGGUUCUGCCAAUUUCUGCUUGAGUUUUUGAUGUUUGUGAGGUUCUAAAGAUUUUGUUUUUAGAAAAUUUAAAAAUAUGAUAUCCAUUCUCUAAUAGUUGUAGUACUAUACAGGUUAUUCAUCUCAUCAGGGGUGAGUUGGGUACUUUCUGGAUUUUGAGAAAUUGUAUAAUUCCAUUUAAGUUCUUAAAUUUAUGUACUGUACAUAGGUUUGUUCUUAGUGUUUCCUUUUUAUCCUUCCAACAUGUUUAGUGUAGGGCUUGUUGAAUUAUAAUGAUAGUAUUUCAUUUCUGAUAUUAGUGAUUUGUCUUCUCUUUUAUGAUUUUGUUUAUCUGGCGUUUUAUCAAUUUUGUUGAUAUUUUCAAUGAACCAGUUUUUUCCCAUGAUUUUUUUCCUAAUUUUUGAUUUCAAUUUUUUUCCUCUUCUGUUUUUGGUUUGUUUCUUUGCAGAUUGUUUUGGGUGAAGUUUUCUCUUGUUUUUCUACAUUAAGUUGGAAGCAUAGAUUAUAGCUUGAGGUCUUUCUUCUUUCUUAAUCUAAACAUGAAAUGCUAUAAUUUUCCCUCUUAACACUGAUUCAGCUGCAUCCCAUAAAUUAUAAUACAUUGCACUUUCAUUUCAAUUCAUUCCAGUGCAGUUUAUACUUCCUCAAGAAUCUCUCUUUGAAGUAUGGAUGUUUGUUUAAUUUGCAAGUGUUUUGAGAUUUUUCUUUUCCUUCCAUAUAAUUUGAUUUCUAGUUUGAUUCUUUUGUUUUCAGAGAACAUACUCUGCAUCACUUAACUGCAUCAUUUAAAUUUGCUUUGAUGAUAUAGGAUGCUAUCUUGGUGAAUGUUUCCCAUGUGUUUGAAAUAAAUGUGCACUUUGCUAUGGUUGAUGCAGUGAUAUUUAGAUCCAUAGUGUUUGUGAAUCACACAGGUCCCAGCCUGCCCCUUGGGCAAUGGUUCAGAUCUCCAUGCUUUUGGUAUUUAUCUGGUGAGAUUCCUGCCUGCACAGCUCAGGUCAAACUCAGGAGUUCCUACAACUUUCUGGAAUCCCUUUCUCAUAUUUGCUCUUCUCCACUACCUGCCUUCACUCCUUGGCUACCAGAAGACUCUCCUUCUGGUCCUCUCACUCAGAGUAGUGGGUAUUUAGUUUCCUCACUCUGUUGUGUACUUCCCUUGAAUAGAUUCACCUAGAUGACCAAGUGGUGAGAUAAUACAAAAAUAGCACAAAAGUCACUUCUCACAAAAGUUUUUCUUUACAGAGAGAAAUACCGACCUCCCUCAGAGUUUUAGGUGUCUGCCAUGUUGUUAUUGAGUCUUCCAUCACAGGGUUACAGAUCUGGGCCUGGGGCUUUUGCUUCUACCCAUGUUAUAUAUACCUCAGUAUAUUCAUCCUAUUAUGCUUUACACCAGGGAUCAGCAAAUUUUCACGGGAAAUGGCUAAAUUGAAAAUAGUUUUGAUUUUGUAGGCCAUAUUUUCUCUGACAUAGAUAGGUUUUGUAUUUUAUUUUUGUGUUAUAUUCAUAGUAAUUUUGUGUUUAAUGUAUUCAUAUUUUAUGUUUAUAAUUAAUUUAGUUACUUAGUUGAUAGAUUGACUUAAUAUUAGGAUUUAUUUAAUAUUUAUAAUAUAAUAGUAAUUAGCUUAUAUUAUAUUUUUAUAUUUAUUCUUUACCUCGUGUUCAUUUUAUGUUAGAGGGUCAUUUCACAUGAAGCAUCCCACAGUUCAUAUAGCUGUCAGAGUUCCUUAAACUUGUCUUUGCAGUGACAGUUUCUCAGACUUUCCUUUUGUUUGUUUGUUUGCUUUUUUUGAUGACAUUGACAGUUUUGAGGUGUACUGGCUAAGAAUAUUGUAGAGACUUCCCUCAUGGUCCAGUGGUUAGGACUCUGUGCUUCCACUGCAGGGGGCACAGGUUUGAGCCCUGGUCAGGGAACUAAUAUCCUGUAUGCUGAGUGGCCAAAAAAAAUGUAAAACAUCAAACUAGGUUUUGGCAACCACGAGUCCGUCUUUAUUCCUCACAUCCAUGAAAUCAUUACCAUCUAAAAUAUUUCUAGAUAUAUAAAUAAACACAAGAUAGGAAGUAUACAUAUAAUUCGUUGCUCUGUCAACCAAGAGGUCCCCAGAACCAAUGACCCUUCAGUACCAAUGAGCACACUUGGGGCACAGAUCUAGUUUUGUCAAUAACAUUCGACAAUAAAAGGAACAAGGGCUCCAUGGAAAAACUGAAGAUUCUAGAACCGGGACAGGAAAUAGGAAAAUGAGCCUGGAACAUCUUUGUAGGGUGUGAAAAGAAGUGCUCAAAAAUAUUUCAAAGAAGGAAGCAACAUUUCCAAGGGUAUUUCCAAAGGUAUAUAAAAAG